rnacentral:rRNA from 1 species
GGAGGUGGGGGAUAACGUAGCGAAAGUUACGCUAAUACCGCAUACGAUCUAAGGAUGAAAGUGGGGGAUUCGCAAGAACCUCAUGCUCCUGGAGCGGCCGAUAUCUGAUUAGCUAGUUGGUGGGGUAAAGGCCUACCAAGGCAUCGAUCAGUAGCUGGUCUGAGAGGACGACCAGCCACACUGGAACUGAGACACGGUCCAG